rnacentral:rRNA from 1 species
UGGCGGCAGGCCUAACACAUGCAAGUCGAGCGGAAACGAGUUAUCUGAACCUUCGGGGAACGAUAACGGCGUCGAGCGGCGGACGGGUGAGUAAUGCCUAGGAAAUUGCCCUGAUGUGGGGGAUAACCAUUGGAAACGAUGGCUAAUACCGCAUGAUGCCUACGGGCCAAAGAGGGGGACCUUCGGGCCUCUCGCGUCAGGAUAUGCCUAGGUGGGAUUAGCUAGUUGGUGAGGUAAGGGCUCACCAAGGCGACGAUCCCUAGCUGGUCUGAGAGGAUGAUCAGCCACACUGGAACUGAGACACGGUCCAGACUCCUACGGGAGGCAGCAGUGGGGAAUAUUGCACAAUGGGCGCAAGCCUGAUGCAGCCAUGCCGCGUGUGUGAAGAAGGCCUUCGGGUUGUAAAGCACUUUCAGUCGUGAGGAAGGUGGUGUCGUUAAUAGCUGCAUUAUUUGACGUUAGCGACAGAAGAAGCACCGGCUAA